GGUCCAACAGGGGGCGCCGCGUUGGAACGCCCAAAGGGGUUGGGGGUUCGGGUGCGGUGGGCGAGCAAGCGAGUGUAUGGCGGCCAGGCCCAGAAGGCCACGAGGACCGCUGGCGCCGAGGCGUCAGUCUUUCAGACUCCAAAAGUAGCAAAGGCCGAGCGAGGAGGUUAGGGGCUCCCAAAGGCCAGCCCUUGGGGCUGUUGAUGGCCAGGCUAACCCGACAGGAGGCGCCGCUGCCACCGAGUGACUGGCUACCAGAUUCUGAAACCCUAAGUGCCUUGGAUGAGUGGGGCUUAAGAGACCACAGAACUGGGUCAAGGAUUAAGCUCAGUGGCACCACACCUGCCUUGCAAGCUCAAGGUCCUGGGUUUGAUCCCUGGUACCAAAAAAAAAAAAAAAAAUUAGAGGCCACAGAACUACAGCCAGACAUUUGAGGAAGCAGCAAAUACAAAAGACAGCUGAGUGGCCUGGCCAAAGACAGCUGAGAGAUUUGGUGUGGUGAGAGCCGAGGAUGAGCACCACGUGGAUGGACUGGAGGAUCAUCUUGGUCAGCCAGAUCAUCAGGGCAGGCAGAGGCUCCAAGAAGCUGGGCCACUCACCCAGUGUCACACAGAUGGAGGAUGCUGGGGACAUCACUCAAAGGAAGGUUUCACCCUGACAAGUGUGACAGGGAAGAGGGACCGAAGCUGCUCCUGGAUACCUAGGCCCCGGGGGGGGGGGGGGCUGGGGACUCACAGCGGGACUGUUUUGUUUGCCCUUGGAGAGAGGCCCGGGAGUGUCCACACUGGGGCUCCUUUGGCAUCUCAGCCCCUCUCAGGAGGGAAGUUCUGGGAGAGAAGCUGGGGAGGAGGCAGGUGCUCUGCCUCUGCUGCCCAGCAGUGCAGCUCUGGUCCAAGCUUGCAUCCAGAGACGGGCCUCAUCCCCCGCUCCAGGGGCUUCUAGUGUUCACCUUCUCCCAGGAAGGUGUUGGAGG
rnacentral:lncRNA from 1 species